ensembl:lncRNA
AGAGAGAGACAGUGAGAGAGAGAGAGACAGUGAGAGAGAGACAGUGAGAGAGAGAGAGAGAGAGACAGUGAGAGAGAGAGACAGUGAGAGAGAGAGAGACAGUGAGAGAGAGAGAGAGAGAGACAAGAGAGACAGUGAGAGAGAGAGAGGUGAGUGAGACAGUGAGUGAGAGAGAGACAGUGAGAGAGAGAGACAGUGAGAGAGACAGAGAGAGACAGUGAGAGAGAGAGAGACAGUGAGAGAGAGAGACAGUGAGAGAGAGAGAGAGAGAGAGAGACAGUGAGAGAGAGACAGUGAGAGAGAGAGAGACAGUGAGAGAGAGAGAGGUGAGUGAGACACAGUGAGUGAGAGAGCGAGAGAGAGGUGAGUGAGACAGUGAGUGAGAGAGAGACAGUGAGAGAGCGAGAGAGAGAGACAGUGAGAGAGAGAGAGAGAGAGAGACAGAGAGAGAGACAGUGAGAGAGAGAGAGACAGUGAGAGAGAGAGAGAGAGAGAGACAGUGAGAGACAGUGAGAGAGAGAGAGACAGUGAGAGAGAGAGACAGUGAGAGAGCGAGAGAGAGGUGAGUGAGACAGUGAGUGAG